UGCCCAUUUUAAGCUGAAAAAGAGAUUUAACAAAAGCUGUGAGUAUGCAGAGUGUGUAAUUUCAUGGAAAUUGAUGUGCAUUCUAAACAGUCUUUCCUGUAGAAAGACAGUGAAGAAAAGACAUUCAAAAUAACUUUUUUUUUUAAAUCAGUAAGAUUGGAAGAAAAAAAAAUUCGUACAGGAGGAAAACUGAUAUAACUGGGAAUGACUACAGAACAUGAAAAAAUGGUUUCAUUUGCAGUCUUACCUUCAUGUCACAAGUGAUGGUGUGAGGACUGAGCUGACUGCCUCCAGAGAUGUUUCUGCUUCCCAUGGUUCCUCAAGAUGUUCUUUGAGUUUUGCUGGAGGUUGCUGAACCUUUCCACCAGGCAUAACUUCGUCCUUCUGGAGGGCAUGCUGGCAGGUAACUCCAUAGGAGCAUCUCCAAGGUGAUGUUUUGCAUUUUUCCUUUAGCCACCAUAUUUUACCUGAAGUCCAAUCACUAUACACAUGAAGCAACUGAGAGGCAUGCCCUCAUUCAUACUGUCAAAUACCCUUUCCCAGUUCUCAGAGAAUGCCUUGCUCUCAUCUUUCUUCCACAUAUUUAAAAUAGAUUUUCUUUUUACUAUUCUGUUUCAGUAACUCAAAGAGAAGAUGCUGCAGUAAACAUUUUCUUUUUUUUUUUAAGAAGGAAGGAACUACUUUAAAAGCAAAAGCCCGUGAAGCAUCAUUGAUGAGAGGCAUACCCACUAUAUCUUUUUUUAAGAUGUGGCAUUUAAAUAUGAAAAAGUCAAAAAUGAGAUGAGAGAGGGAUAAAAUAGGAAAUAAUGAAGUCUGGCAAAAAAAAAAAGUGUAAACCAAGAAGAAUUAAACAUAACUAUCGACAGUGUAUGAAAGAAUUGAAAAUCACGGUUAUAGAAAGCUGAAAUUUAGCAUGAUAAAUAGUUUGCAUUUAAGUGCCUAAGCCAAGCGGUGUCCUAUGUGUGCUUGAGAGACAUUAAAUCUUUUGAAUUGGAAUAAGUUAUAAGGCACAUCUGCCUGCUUCAGUUAGUGAUGGUUCAGCAUUAUUAAGGAGAAUGUCAGCAGUGCAAUUGGCUCUAUUUGUAGCUAUAAAUGUAUUUGCUUGUAGAAGUGACCUGUAGCAGAAGUCCCAAAAUAACUAUUCAGUGGGGCUGGGAAGCUUUAAAGCUUUCCAACAAAACAUGCUGAUGUUGGACUAGAAUGAAAAGA
ensembl:lncRNA